UGUAUGUUCUUGUUUAGUUUGUGAGGUGUUUCUUACUUUUUAGCUAUUGGUUGUGAUUCCGGUGUUUUAGGCAUAUAUUUUCCUGCUUUUUGGUGGCUUUUGUCUUUCGAUUAUUAUUCUCCCUUUGGUCUGCUUUCUUAGUUUAUGCGUUGGUCGUCUAAUUUCUUAUUCUUAAUUUGAUUAUCUUAUGAUACUAAUAGUGAAAUAAAUAUAAUUUGUAAAUAAAAUAAUAAAAUUAGUAAAAAUAAUAAAAUGAUGAAAAGUCUUGCUAUUUUUAGGUGUGAAUAAAUUAAGUAUGUAAAAUAUAUUUAUAUUAUUUUAUUUAUUUCUUGAAUUUUAGAGACCAAUAAGUGUGAGAAAGAUUAGAUAAUACACAAUUAGAAAUUGAUGGAAAAAUUUGCAAUAUUUUAAAAGAAGAAGAAUUUAA
rnacentral:lncRNA from 1 species